rnacentral:rRNA from 1 species
UACAGGGGGGGCAAGCGUUGUUCGGAAUUACUGGGCGUAAAGGGCGCGUAGGCGGCCUGUUAAGUCGAACGUGAAAUCCCCGGGCUCAACCCGGGAACUGCGUCCGAAACUGGCAGGCUCGAAUUCGGGAGAGGGAUGCGGAAUUCCAGGUGUAGCGGUGAAAUGCGUAGAUAUCUGGAGGAACAUCGGUGGCGAAGGCGGCAUCCUGGACCGAUAUUGACGCUGAGGCGCGAAAGCCAGGGGAGCAAACGGG